rnacentral:misc_RNA from 1 species
UUAACUAUUAUAUAGUACUCAGACGACAUUUUUAAACAGAGUUUAGGGGUCCUUUGGCACUCACUCAUUAGCAUAAGCCAAUGGCCGAAGCGGAAUGCCAAAGCAACAAAGUAUAUUUAACAUAGGGUUGGAGAGUCACCCUCGCGGGCGAUGUUCUCUGUAAUGAUCCCUCCGCAGGUUCACCUACGGAGA